ensembl:lincRNA
ACCGGCUGCCACACAGAUGGAACUUGAGGACAGUGCACUGAGUGGAUGAGCAGCCAUGAAGGGACGAGAGGGGCACAGUGCCACUCUCUAAAGAGGCCUUGAAACCAGGAACCAAAGUAAAAUUGUCUUUUAAGUAGUUUUUACAGGUAUCUUGUCCCUCCCAAAGCCCCACGUGUUAAAGGCUGGGUCUCCAGCUUGGCCCUGUGGUAAAGGAGUGGGAGCUCUUCAGGGUGGGGGACACACCCUUGAAGGGUAGCGGGACCCCAGCCCCUUCCUCUCCUCUUUCAGUCCCUAGCCAUCAGGCGAGCAUUUUGCUCCACCUGGCACUUCUGCCAUGGGGCACUACCCCUCCCCCCAAAACAACAUGUCCUCUUGACCACAGGUUGGAGCCUGCGAAACUGUGAGCCAAAGUACGCCUGCAUGAGGGGGCCUUGUGUCCGUGAUGGGGCUGACCAGCACGCCUGGCCCAGCAUUAGCAACAGUUUUGGAAGCUGAUAAGUUCUUUACUAGCAGUAACAAAGAACAAAACUUGAUCAGCCACACCAAGAACUCCAUCCUCUCUGGAGAAAUCACAGAGACGAGCAGAGAAUGCAGCCCAAAAACCUAGCCGAAAACCUGUGUGAACAGAGCUUGCGGUUCCUGGUUCUGCACCACUAUGGACCCAGCUGCUGGAACGCUGCCCUGCAAGUCAUUCCUGCUGCCGUGAGCCAGAUGCCGGGCAUGGAGAAGCUGGGUCACCUGGAGAGUGAGUGCUGACCUGAGGGGAGACUGAGGCCCUGUUUUCCAUGAGCCUGCGCCAUCUCACACUUCCGCCAGCCGCACUUGAGAGUCCAGCUACACUUGGUGUUCAGUCAUUUCUCAUUACCUUACCACUGAGUGGCAGUUCUGUCUCCUGUGUCUUAAGUUUGCAUUUCUUUCCUCCCUAGAGAUAUUGAGCAGGCAGGUGCAGUGCCCACACCUGUAAUUCCAGCUGCUCAAGAAGCUCAGGCAGGAGGACUAUUUCUGGGCAACUUUGAGACCCUGUCUCAAAGAUUAGACAGAGUGGGGAUAUGUGGCUUAGUGGUAGCACUGGCCUAGCAUACAUUCAGUACUGGGUUCAAUCCUCCAGUACUGAAAAAAAAAGUUUUAAUUGUGCAAUAGUAUUAUAGUUGCAAAAGAUUUGUUUUGGUUAGUGUUUUCACAGUAUAUGAAUAUUUUUAUAUUUUCACAGUACAUACAUUUUUUCAUCUUUCCACUUUAAAUCUUUCCUAUCCUUAUAUUCUUAUAAGCAGCAUGUAAUAUUGUUUUUCCUUCCUGUUUAAUAUUCUUUGUCUUUUAGUUGGAAUAUUUGGUUUUUUUACAUCUAAUGUAAUAUUGAUGGAUUUGGAUUUAAAUCGUUCAUAUUACUAUUUGUUUUCCUAUCUAUCCUAUGUCCUUUUCCUUCCUGUUUCUUACCUCCUUUUAUACUAAUCAUAUUUUAUUGCUUUAUUUUACCUCUAACAAAAAGUUGCGUCAACUUUUACUGGUCACCCUAGAAAUUAUAAUAUGAAUCCUUGGUCUAAUACUGUAGAGUUAUCAUGUCAAUCAUGAUACAGAAUAUUUCAAUCACCCCGAAACAUUCUCUUGUUUCUUUGUAGUGAGUCACUCCAUCAACCAAGCAGGGGAAACAGGGCUCUAGGGGAUCAGUGGGUCCUCUGCAUCACUAACCAAACCCUAAAACUCCUAGCAUGGGCCAGAACUUGACAGCUAAGGCUGGGUUAUGGGACUGUCUGCCAGAGAUGACUGAGGAAGCACGUGAGCCCAGGACUCAUCCACAGGGGCCAUGCUGGGAGGUGCUCUCCCCCCACGGUUACCUACAGGGGGAAUUUCCCC